rnacentral:misc_RNA from 1 species
GAUGAAGAACGCAGCGAAAUGCGAUAAGUAGUGUGAAUUGCAGAAUUCAGUGAAUCAUCGAAUCUUUGAACGCACAUUGCGCCCGCCAGCAUUCUGGCGGGCAUGCCUGUUCGAGCGUCAUUUCAACCCUCGAGCCCCCCCCGGGGGCCUCGGUGUUGGGGGACGGCACACCAGCCGCCCCCGAAAUGCAGUGGCGACCCCGCCGCAGCCUCCCCUGCGUAGUAGCACACACCUCGCACCGGAGCGCGGAGGCGGUCACGCCGUAAAACGCCCAACUUUCUUAGAGUUGACCUCGGAUCAGGUAGGAAUACCCGCUGAACUUAAGCAUAUCAAUAAGCGGAGGA